rnacentral:rRNA from 1 species
UACGUAGGGGGCAAGCGUUGUCCGGAUUUAUUGGGCGUAAAGAGCGUGUAGGCGGCCUGAAAGGUCAGCUGUGAAAACUCGAGGCUCAACCUCGAGACGUCGGUUGAAACCAUCUGGCUAGAGUCCGGAAGAGGAGUGUGGAAUUCCCGGUGUAGCGGUGAAAUGCGCAGAUAUCGGGAAGAACACCCGUGGCGAAGGCGGCACUCUGGGACGGUACUGACGUUGAGACGCGAAAGCGUGGGGAGCGAACAGG